CGAACGGGUGAGUAAUGCGUGACCAACCUGCCCCAUGCUCCAGAAUAGCUCUUGGAAACGGGUGGUAAUGCUGGAUGCUCCAACUUGACGCAUGUCUUGUUGGGAAAGUGUUUAGUGGCAUGGGAUGGGGUCGCGUCCUAUCAGCUUGUAGGCGGGGUAAUGGCCCACCUAGGCUUCGACGGGUAGCCGGCCUGAGAGGGCGGACGGCCACAUUGGGACUGAGAUACGGCCCAGACUCCUACGGGAGGCAGCAGNG
rnacentral:rRNA from 1 species